AUAUAAAAUAUUGGGAAUGCAGUUGGCCAAAGGUCCUCUUUCUUGACCUUUUAGUGGUGGUAGUGGAGGGGGAGAGAGGGAGGGACACAGGAGCUGGGGGGAUGGUAUUUCCACUAGAAGAAUUUUGAACCUAAUGUGUCAGAAAAUAGUCUCCUUCCUGUUGAUACUGAUUAUGCUUAAUACAGACCAUGUGUGAUUAUCUUAUUUGAAGGCACCAGACUUAUUCCUAAGCCCCUGAUGUGCUCUUUACACCGAAAGGGUGGGAGCACGCAAUAUACCCAGUAAGGGGGGAUGUGUGGAAAUCUUACUGUGACUUCAACAGUUACAGAGAAUCCAGGAUAUUUUUCAACACUGUUCUUUUUUUCAAAGUCCAGCCUAGACUUUCAAAAUAUUUGAGUAACAUUGAAUUGUAGCAAAAUAACAGUUUGUUGGAGAAAAUAACCCUCUCCCAUCCCACCUGAAAUGGGUUGAGGCAGUAGUAACGUUAGUCCAAUUCUGAAAACAAAAUCUGCUUCUCUAACCUUGUUAGGAGACAGGCAGACCACAUCAUCAGAAAAUGUGAGACUGGAAAGUCUAGCUGGAAGUUUUCCCUUUAAGAAUUUUCUUAAUAUGGAGUGGAAAUGGGCUCUCCACCGACUCUUUGCCCUACCAGCAUGAAGAGGAGCAGAGCGCUGGUGUCCCAGCUGGAGGAGCCAUGGGUUACUCAGUGCCUUUUAUUUCAACAUUAAAACACCAUAAAGAAAGGGGUCUGACUUUCCACCUUUUAAUAUUGCUCAAUCAUUUCUUUUUACUUCUUGCUUCUGUGAGCACAGUAUGUGGUUUUCUGGGGGAAUUUAUUAAAAAGAAAAUCUUUCACUGUUUUAUGGAUAGGUUUUUGGAGAAAUCUACAGUCAAGACAUGUUUCUCAGUUCCUUCAUGACUGCUCUAAUUCUCUAAAUCUUGGUGAGAGCAUGCUAAAAAAUUGGCUCCUAAUUUGUAAUUUAACAAGUGACAGAAUAUUUUGCCAUUAGCAAAUGAAGGGAAAUGUUUGAUAUACCAAUGAGUAUGGCUUUCUAUUUUGGCCACUUGUACCCAGCAGACAAUCAUAAUCAAAUAGCAGAGCUGUUUGAAGCCCAGGCCAUUUUUGCUGGAACUUUCUGGGUAACUGAGAUCAUCUGCAGUCAGUCUUGUACCUGUAUUAGAGUGGUUUUCUGCUUUCUGUGCUGAGAAUGCUCCCCCCUCCCCUGCUUUUUUAUUGUCUUGCCCAAAGUUACAUAAACAUUUUUGCAUAUCUAUUUAUAAUUUGGAGUCUGUAAUCAUGUUUGGGCUUUAACUUCUUGUUUUCCACUUAUUAAGGACCGAUCUCAGUGUUUUGCCAACAUCUCCUAAAUCACAGUGAGUAAAAGAUGGCAAGAAACAAGCCAGAGAAUUGUCAGUGGUUCGGGGGAAAGGUCCGUUGUCUUAUGUUACGUAGAGGCCAUGCUUCUGCGGUCUGUAUUCAUUACCCACUUGGAUUCCCUCUCACAUAGAUUCUGAUUUAGGGCAUAUGGUUUCAUCUUUCAGCUGGCUUUAAAAAGGUUCAUACCAAAUGUACUCUUUCAGAAAUCCUUGAAAAUAAGUUUAUCCAGGUAACUUUCUAGACCAGAAACUUAAAAUCCUAUAGGAGGUUUGUGUAACAAACAUGAAUGAGUGAAGUGGAUCCUGUUGACACUAACGUUGCUUUUUAAAUCUCUGUAAGAGCAUAAAAUUUCCGUACACUAAUAAGGCCCUCUGGCUGGCUGGGUGUGACCCCUAUUUUGUAGUCACUGUUUUCUGGCACUAAGAAUACUUAGCUAUACUAGAGCUCUCUCUUCUUUGGUCCCUGAGAAAACAACCUCCCAGCUGCAGGCCCCGUUUUUAGCUGGGACACAUCUCAUCUUAUUUAACCAGUCUUCCUACAAGUGGCUGAGCUGAGGAAGUUAUAGCUUUCUGUUGUCUCAGUUGCCUAAUAGAAAGUCAUUUAACCUAAAUCCUAGGACCCCUGUGGGAAAAUCCCUUUUGGUUACUGUACUUGUGGACUAAAUAAGGUGCCAGCUAGCUCCUGCUCAUAAGCAGAACUAGUUUUAAGAUCUUCACUCACACCACCUUCGUUAAACUAGAAAAUUUCUUGUUUGUUAUAGCAAGAAAGGCAAUUCAGUUCUGCUGCUUUAAAGUAUUAUUAGAAAGAGUCUGCUCUUGGAUAUAAUUCAGUUCCUGAAUGGGGCUGUUACUGGAACAGCUGACUGAAUAUGCUGUAUAUUGACUUAAGCAUAUAUUGUGAAAACAUGAUUUAUUUGCAGAUAAGUUCUGAAAUCCUGUGGUAUCCAUCAGGUACUGCUUCUUUUGUAAAAAUUAAAAAUCCAUAAAUCACUUCUCUUGUCGUCUAAUCAAGUACUUAAGAGGAUUGUGAAAUAACUAUCCUUUUAAAAAAUAGGAUUUGCUACUUAACUACAUGUUUAGCAAAAUUAAUUAAUUGGAGGCUUCUGCAAUUCAAGCAUGGACAAUUGUCCAAGGAACCUGCAAAGGCUUCAUGUUGUAAAAUUAUUUAAGCACAUAAUGAUUAUACCUUUCACCUGUGAGGACAUUUUAUAGAUAACUCACCAUUAAUAGGCAUUUAUUAAGGCAAUUAAAAGUACACUUUGCUUUUAUAGCUAUAAAUAAACCUUCCCAUUUCCUCUGAGAGUGUAUUAUUAGCCCCUUAUGUGGAAAAGUAAAUGGAAGUGAAAGUUGAGCAUUACUAGUAGGUCUGUUGUCUGCCUGGGCUGAUGAGUAUAUUAUGAACAGAUUAGUAACUCUGAAUAGAUUAUAAUUUUGAUAUCUAUGACUCAUCUUUAAUAAUGCUCAAUUCUUUACCAUUAUCAGCAUAAUGGAAUCAUAUUUGCAGUAAAAAGAUACCUUAUUUGAUGGCUUUAAAACGUGGCCAACCAAUUUUCUGAUACUCCUUCAUUAAGAGGUGGGAUCUUUGUCCCUUUUCCUUGAAUCAGGGCUCUGUGACUGCUUGACCAGUAGAAUGCAGUGAAAGUCACGCUGUGUUAAUCCCUGUCCCAGGCUUGGAGAAGCUGGCGACUUUUGCCUUCCCUUGUUUGGGAUGCCUGUUCUUGGAUCCCAGCUCCCAUGCCAUGAGGAAGCCUAAGCUGCCAGCACAGCAGCCCUCAGGGAGCAUCCAGUGCACAGGUCUAGCUGAGCUUCCAGACUGUGGCCAGCUCCAACCUGUCAGCCAUGAGUAAGCCAUCCUGAGAGUGGGUCCUCCAGCCCUCAGCUGAGCUGUCCUUGAUGAUGCUGUGUGGGUCACAGAUUAGCUAUCUCUGUUGAUCCCUGCCCAAGUUACAGAUUUGUAAGCAAAGUAAGUGAUUAUUGCUGUUUUAAGCCACUAAGUUUUGAGGUGAUUUUUUACACAACAAUAAAUAACUGGAACACUCUCUAAGGAAAUGGCAGUUUCCAGCUCCCUUCUCUACCACGUGGCAAAAACUUAGUACUAUUUUAAAUUUCAACCCUCGAUGCUACUGGCUUGCAAAGGAAGAAAGUGAACACACCAGGUUUCCAAGGGAGGCUUCUGGCUCUCACUGAAUAUUGGUAGAAACGUUCAUGUUCUAGCAUGGUGAUUCACAGCCUAAUCCAAUGUACUGAGCUUCUACUAAAUGCCAGUAAGUGUUGUAGCUCUAAUGGAGGCAGCUUUGCUAUUUCUUGUUCUGCUGGAGCUACUAAUCCACCAUGUGAUAUUUGACAGAUUAUCCGGUGUUAAUGAAUCCCAUUUCCUCAUCUGUAAAAUGAGAGGGCUUGGAUAAAUGUUCUCUCAAGUUCCUCCAGCUCUAAUAUAAUAUUAUUUAUGACUCUAAAACUUCAAGCUGCUCCAUUUGAAAAAUCGGAAUGUUUAUUGCCCCCCAAAGGGACUCCUUCCUUCAUUAUUUGAAUGUUCUUCACUUUGUAGAGAGUAUUUCAUUCCUAAAAAGGGUUGAAAAUAAAGCUCACCUGGUCCAUAUCUGAUGCUUUCCAAUUGAUGGCAAUUCUCCAACCUAAAUAUAAAACCACGAACAAAAAAAGGACCUAUAAGGAAUCACUCUAUAAAAAUGCAAGCCAGGAUGUAUGUGAUGAAUAAUUCAUUCUAAGAAAAUGUCUGAAAAGGGUUUAUCUCUCACAAACAUCUUACGUGGAAAGCUCCAUCUCAGCACCUGCUUCCAGAGAGCCUGGCCUGUGGUAGCAGAUAACUGAACAGCAGUCCCCUGGCUUCCCCUUAAAAGGGAUGGACCUAUCAGGAGGAUUUGUACUUUGUGCCGUGUGGUUCCCAGUGGGGCUACGUUAUCCCAGUCAUUCACAGUCUCUCAAUGGGUCCUCAGAGAGGAAUGCCUUGAGGGAUAAAAUUCAAAGGGCUAAUGAACAGAAGUCAUUCAAGAUUUUAAAAGAACCAUCCAAGAGGGCUGAAGCUACUGUCUACAUGUCUCCUGAGAAUAGCUCUGCAAGGUGCAAAUAAAACGGCAACUCUCGAUUAAGGAAUUCAGCGAUAAGCAAGAAAUCCUGCUAUAAAGGGACUGCACAGUAUUUCAUUUUUACCCUUUGUACUUACCAAAACAACUUGCACAGGACAGUGUUUAAUAAUGAAGGGUCACCAGAUUACUCAUCAUUCUCAGAAUAAGAAACAAAGAAGUACAAGAAACAGGAAUGCAAGCUCUACAUUUGAUUGGAAUAAGGACAUCUGUGCCCUUAACAAUCAGAUAUCCGGAAGAGCUGCCACAGGGGUAGGAAGAAUGUUGAAUAGGGCUUUUAUGCCUACAAUUCUUGGAUUGCUGACUGAGCAAAGUUCUUACUCUGAGGAGAGAAACAACAAUCUUUGUUUUGUGAAAUGGGCAUGGGUUUCACAGGCAGGGGCUUCAUUUCUGUCCCCCUCCCCUCGCCACAGAAUAACAGGGAAGGCGAAAAUAAGUGCGUUGAAAAUGUGGCAUGGCAAGAACUCUUAUUUGCAGCACUGUAGCAGGAGACCUCUUUUUAAUAGGAAAAAGUUAAAAAAAAAUGGACAUGAAGACAAUGUAUGUCCUAACCCAGGGAGAAUUCUUGCUACUUUGUAAACUUGUUCUAGUGUCUAUCUAAUAAGAACCUUAGACACAUUGAUGGAGAGAUAUUUCUUUUCAUUUGAAGACAAGUAAUAAAAGCCAUCAGUGCAAAUAUACUACUUGGAAAAAGGAGAAAAGGGCAAGAAUGAAACAUAUAACAAAAUGAAUGAUGGGUAAAGAAAACUCACCCAAAAGACUUGUCAAUGAUCUGAUAAACUGAUUUAAAACACCAGCACGAAUGAGCACAAGUUAAUAAAACAAGCAUGAACUCAUGGCUGAGAAAUAAAAGCUCAAGGGCAUAGGGUGAGACCACAGAUGCAGAAGCAGCAUGAGACACAGAAGCCGGGGAGCACAGAGAAGGAAGAUAAAGUAAUCACAGAAGCAAAGUUACCACUGGCAAUUGCAUGUAUGAAGAUAAAUAUUUGUGGGAAAUAAUUUUCUUAAAAAGUGAGUAAAAAGAAAUAAAAAUGAAUAAGUAAUUUUAAGGAUCAGAAAUAAACCAAUGUCUGUGGAACAGAGGAUCCUACAUUAACCAUAAUUAGUGUCCCUGAAGAAGAAAGCAAAAAUUAGAAGAGGAAAUAAACAUUUAUUUGUGGAAAUUCCCCUGGAAAUAUGUUAUUAAAAGAAGACUUGAAUUUACAGCUUGAAAUGAUUUCCUGUGUCCCACGGAAAAAAUCACAUGGAAUCAUUAACUAUGAGACAAACCUGAUGAUUAUUUUUUUCAAAUAUAAAAUACAAUUCCUUUUGUAUCUGGGCUAAGUGAUCAAGAUACCAAUAGGGAAAUGGGAGGUACAAACUACUGAGUGUAAGAUUGGCUUGAGGAUGUACUGUACAACAUGGGGAAUAUGGCCAACAUUUUGUAAUAAUUGUAAAUGGUAAGUAAUCUUUAAAAGUUGUGUAGAAAAUUUAAAAAUAACAUGGUUAGUGGAUCUUAUAAAACACAUUCCACAUAGGAUGUGGAACGAUGCCCCUAUAUUACUCAGCAAAAACAUGACCUAAAAUUCUGAUGCACAGCCAAAUCAUUAUUUAACUCUAGGAGAUAGAUGUAUGUAAUUUUCACAUGUGCAAGAAUUAAAUGAUGGUUGUUUCCACAGACACUACUUGAAGAAACUAUUCCUCAGCCAAAGGAGAGAAAAAUGAAUAAACAGUAAGGAAAGGACUGGUGCUCAACCUUUAACCCAUUUCCUGAAAGGGAAGAGAUGGA